ACUGCACACGCCCAACUCAGUGAGCAUGCGCAGUGUGUGCGUGCGCAUCCGUUGCUGCGCAUGCGCCUUGGUGCGCAUACGCCUUCCUGAGCGAUCUGUGAGGAGCGUUGGGCGUGAGACGGGUCUGUUUAUUCAGUCCCGGUUCUUUCUCACUACUUGAGACACACCAGGGAGAAAUAUGAGUGGGCAAGUGGCAUCAACAUUGGGACCUACAAAGCCAGAUUGCUCCCAGGUGGAUGAACCUGUGGUUGACCAGCAGCCCAGUGUUGAGCAACCUCACCAAGAGGAACCACCAGCUGAGAUUCAGGAUAUCACACCUAGAAAUGAGGAAGGAGAGGAUCCAGUGAAUCGUGAUGAAGAAGAGGAGAAGGAUCCCUUUGAAGAUUCUGGCCUGGAAGCUGAUCUCCAGCUAUUUGCUGAGGCAAAGACUGGGGAUGAAGGUGGAGAUGGUCCUGAUGUCAGGGAGGAGUUUGCAUCAAAUACAGAGCCUGUUGAAAUGCCAGAAGCAGGUGAAGGGCAGCCAUUUGCUUGAAAGAAGAUAAACUGAAACCAUCUAUGCUGCUCUUAUGUUCUGUAUUUGACUAUUAAAGUUCGGUCAAUAAAGUUUUGUUUUCUACUUGCACAUUUUUUGUUAAAUUUAUCCCCGGGUAUUUAAUGUUAUUGAAAAUUCAUGGUUUGUGAUUUUUAUUGUCUAGUUGAGGCUGUCUGUAGAGAUAGAAUGUCUAUAUAUAGAUUUUCUGUCCAACAAUUCCUCUAAAUAUGCAUAUUAAUUCCACAAAUUUAGAUCUAGAUUAUUUUUGCUUUUCAAAAUAUACUAUUAUAUUUGAAUAUCAACAGUUUCUACUGGCUUAAACCUUAAACCUGUCCUCAUUUUGCAGCAUUGAACAAACCUGGCCAGAAUAGUCUUGACUAAAGCAGGUGAUAAUCGGCAUUUAUCCGAAUAGGAAAUGAAAAAUCUUCUUCUCCAUUUCAACCUGUUUACGUUGUUUUUUGUAGAUAUACUUUAUCAGAGUAAGUUCCAUUCUAUUCCUAGUUUGCUGUCUUAAAUAUAGAUUAAUUAUCAUCAAACACUUAUACUGCAUCAAUUGGGAUGAUCAUAGAAUUGUUUUCCCUCCAUUUUUCUAUUAAUGUGGUGAAUUGCAUUGGUAACCUUAUACAUGUAAACCACCCUUGCACUUCUAGGGUUAAAAAAAUUGGGUCAUAACAUAUUCUCUAGGUGUAAUCUACAUGUUAAUGCAUAUACAUACAUAUAUAUACCCACACAUAAAAAAUUCAUAAAAGCCUUUGGUCUUCUCUUGAAUAAAUGGG
ensembl:lncRNA